UCUGAUUAGACCCUGGGUCUCCUGGAAGGCUCAAGAUGGGCCUCUUAAUAUAGAGCCUCACCUGCUCCAAGUCUUAGCAUUAUGAUGUCCUCCUCCCCCUCAGAGGCCUCCCACCUGCCAACCUGCACAAAAGCCCAUCCUCUUCAGGAGGCUGUUCCAGUUGAUACCUCAGCCCCCAGCCUUUGGCCUCCCGCUAUGAUUGUGCUUCUCCUCCUGAGUAUGCUGACGGCCUCGCGUGGCGGUGAGUGACAGUAUUUUAUGCUGUCUGGUUUGGCAUAUCAUCACUAUGAACACUGGGGACUGUUGGCAAACAUCAUCUGAUUUGCUUAUUAUUACUUUUAUCCCCUUGCCUAGGAGUGAUGGGAAUCACACAGUAAUGAUAAGCUACGGGCUAGUUCAGCUGAUGUUUUGAGCCCUCC
rnacentral:lncRNA from 12 species